rfam:Oryza nivara chromosome 6, whole genome shotgun sequence.
AAUAAGUGUAGUUUUACACUAUUCACGUUUAAUAUUUGACUGUUCGUCUUAUUUGAAAAUUUUUAUGAUUAAUAUUUUUAUUGCUAUUAAAUGAUAAAACAUGAAUAGUAAUUUAUGCGUGACUAAAUAUUUUCAAAUUUUUCAUAAAUAUUUUAAAUAAUACGGAUGGUCAAAUGUUGGACACGGAUAUCUACGGCUACACUUGGU